rnacentral:rRNA from 1 species
UACGUAGGGGGCAAGCGUUGUCCGGAUUCAUUGGGCGUAAAGGGUGCGUAGGUGGCGCUGUAAGUCGGGUGUGAAAUUUCGGAGCUUAACUCCGAAACUGCAUUCGAUACUGCGGUGCUUGAGGACUGGAGAGGAGACUGGAAUUUAUGGUGUAGCAGUGAAAUGCGUAGAGAUCAUAAGGAAGACCAGUGGCGAAGGCGGGUCUCUGGACAGUUCCUGACACUGAGGCACGAAGGCCAGGGGAGCAAACGGG